rnacentral:rRNA from 1 species
CCGGAGCAGGGGUUAGCCGCCCUGCUGAUCCAAAGACAGCGGCGCAGAGGGAAGAGAGAGAGCGAGCGUAGAGAGGUAGCGAGGAGGAAGAGAAGCGCGUCGGCGGCGAGGAGAGGCGGAGGGAGGAGGAGGUGUCCUAACGCCGGAAGGGAGGGAACACGAUAGGAGAGUGCCGGUACUUGCCGCCGCUCGAGCGGCAACGGAAGUAGCCCUCCUCUCGCCUGGCUGCCUGGACCUCGUAGGGGUAGCUGCCCUCCUCGCCCUCCUCGCGCCCUUGGCGGCCGCGGGGAAGCCGUUGGUCCAGAAGAGGGAGCGGUCGGCGGCACGGGGGCAGUUCGACAGUGUAGCAGCCCUCCUCUACUUAGUGACGAGAGGGACCUCCUCUCCCAGCUGCCCUCGAUCGCUCUGCCUAGACGUCGCGAGCGGAGUGGAGUCCCACCACGGCCCACGCACCGACAACAAGGAAGCCUUAACCGGCCGGAUGGAGCACCCACAGUUAGGUCCAGCUACACGAACCGGUCUUCUUCCGUACCUGCGGUAGCUGGAGCGGGCGGAGACGUGUAACGUCCGUCUUUUCUGUAUGACUAAACUUCUGGUGGAGUUAACAAACCCUAGACCUAACAGACAUGUAUAAAACAACCACCAACCGUCUAGACCAGGUAGUAUUAGAAACAGGACGAUGGUACGUCAAGAUACAUGGUACGUUAAAAAGGGGAGGUAGGACCAGAGUUCUAUGACGGCUCCCUCGCCGACUACCUCCGCGAGACGUUUACCACAUGCUCAGUUCCUCUAGGUGGCGUUCGCCGAGUACUACCCGCGUGACCCCUAAUCUAGAGGCAACCUUUCUACGUAGGUCCGGACCGGUGGAGAGGUCGUGCUGUACGGUCGGUCAAGAGAGAAUGGGGAGGAAGGUGUGGUAUAGCAGCAGAGUGGGUGGUCUCAUUACCUUACAAUUAACCGACCACCACCGUACAAGUUCAUACCCUUUACUACUCGAGGAUGAAGAAAAAUACGGUCGGGAUACGGCAUCCAGUCGACGCUGGAAAAAGGGGUGUUCAACCACUAUUAGUCAAUAGGAGAUCUCCCUUAACACUAACACUAAUCAUAGAAAUUUGUAAUCGGUAUAAGUAGUCAUGAGUGGCAAAGAAAGUAAAGAAGAGUAAAAAUUUACAUAACCGGAGACCAUAUAUGUCGACUUUAGCUACACGGUUUGUUGUUCUUUAUAGAUCGAGGGAAGCACAUGCGAAGAGACGGUGUUGUACCCACGUUUUAAUCUUCUUGUUGAUUAGACAGAAAUACCACGUACGAAUUAACUUAAUUACACAGGAACAACCACGUAUAUAGAUCGAGGCUAACCAAGAACCAAAGAGACUGAUAAUCUUUAAUCGGCUUAAUUACACUAGAAUAAAUUUUAAAACCGCCUCAUUUGUAAGUCUCUGGAUUAAUUCUAACUAAUUUGAAUAUAAUAUACAAACAAUCAAGGAAAUAUGAGGUUUUCUUUUUUUUUGUACUGAUUGUUUUGAGACAGUUACUAGUUAUUACGUCACAUAUUAUUAAAUAUUCUUGUUCAUGCUAGAGUUCACUUGGAAAACAACCUUUGCAGACAAAGAUUAACUUGAUAUCGGAUAUUUUUAUUAAUAUCGUUCCAACACAAAUGUAAACAUGGUCGUUCAUUUAGGUGAUAGUUGACGUAACACGUUAUUACCAUUUAUCGAACAACUAAGUCUGUCAACACUUUGAGUUGACUGUUUACAUCCUACUUACCUCGUUUGUAGUUACUGGCGUAUGUCUAAUUACUGCUACUCCACAAUCAAGCGUGGGGAUAAACAAUACUAGCGAAUACCUAGCCUUAAACAACCUAAUCAUAUAUCGUGUGCAACGGCAAGGAACGAAUUAUCUGUACGUGACGAGACAAACAGUACCGGCGAGACGUGAUUUACAUACUACAAAGUGAAGUCGGACUCAGAAGACAAGUUAUUAACAACAAAGAGGGACUUUGUUUUGACCGUGAAACAUGCUAACUAAUGAGUCUCUCGGUGUUAGUGUGUUCCUUUAGAUUUGUCGGUCGACCCAUAACUGUUCUUCAUGGUUAAAUUCUCCUGGCACUCUCUCGAACCUCCCUUCUUGUGUGAACUACUGGUUUAUUUGUGAACUACUGGUAUAAACCACGGAAAACGACGUUUAUCACCUUCAGAAAAUCGCUCGUAUAUAAGUACAGUUUGACUAUACGGUGACUGAGAAACUAACGGACUAGGACAAGAAGGAAACGACAUUCCGAGCCGUAUUUCUUGUGUAAGCUCCUGGUAAGUGCUGUGGAAGACCUCGUUUAUCACCAUCAGAUAACCAUUUAUAUAUAAGUACACUUUGACUUUAACUCUUGGAAUCUACUUGUAAUAAAGGACAAUCACCUAACUAUCAACAUGACUUAGAACGGGAUACAUGUACGGGUAGGACUUUGUAUAUAUAUAAUCCAUAAUAACCUACUCGUAUUCACAUGUAUAAGAUAUGUUCAUAAUGGUCUGACCUAUGUUAACCUAGUCCACCCAACGCCAUUCGACGUGAAUGAUAGGAAAGAUGAUUACGUAGUAUCGUAGACUAGAAAUGGGCGAGCCGGAACAGUAACCCUGGCCGUGGGAACGUGGUUCCGCGCGAGCCGGAACAGUAACCCUGGCCGUGGAACGUGGUUCCGCGCUGGGGCUAGAUCAAAGGAUCUAACAUCCUAGGUAUUGCCGUGCGGGACCGAACGCACGGCUGAGA